rnacentral:misc_RNA from 1 species
UUAAGUUCAGCGGGUAGUCCUACCUGAUUUGAGGUCAGAUUUCAAAGCUUUGCUUGUGACCGCCACCCUGAGAGGCAGGUCGGGGAAGGGCACAAGAGGGGAACAUCUCUGUCGAGCGAGGAUGGUACAACGCCCAGUCGAGUUCGACCCACAGGCCCAACCGAUGCAUUUGAGGGGAGCCGCCUGACGGCAGCAGAGCC